rnacentral:lncRNA from 1 species
GGCUGACAGACCUGAUCAUAGUAUUAGUCACUGGUUGGGUAGGUUCAUAGCUCAGCCCUGUGGGGGACGCAGAGCAGAGUAAGGAGGGGUAGGAAAGAAAAAUUGAGAGGGUGGAAUUCAGCCAAACCUAGUGGUGAGUUAGCUUUAUAAUCAGAAAAUUCACAUUUUAAGAAAGUGAUCAAACCAGCUGGAUAGUCCUGAUUUGUUGGGGUCUGUGGGUGGUGUCUGGUGAGCCAAGUGUAGCUGUUCAAAUGUGGGAGAGACAGCCUCUACGAAAUAUCACCAAUAUUCUUUAAACCGUUAAACACAUUUUAUAAUUGCAAUUGCUUCCUCUAAAUUGGCUGUUUAUUCUGUUAAUGACUUUUUUUGUGAACCACUGUUUACAAAUAAGGCAGAUCCUAGAAUCUGCUAGCAAU